rnacentral:lncRNA from 1 species
CAUGCAUCAAUCAUAGGAGCCUUAAUCUCCAAUUUCUUGAAGAUCUCCAUGAAGUACUUGAACCUAUUUUCCUUCCUAUGAUUUUUCUUUUUAUGAGGGAGGGGUUUUUCAUAUGACCUUUUCUUCUUUCCUCUCUUCCUCUUCUUCUUAAUUUUCUCCUCCCUCAGCUUUCUCUUUUUCUUUUUCUUUUCUUUCUUUAUUUUCACGUUUUUUUCUUUUUUUCUUUUCUUUCAACCACUGUUUUUCCUUUCUCAUCAUCCUUCUCACUCUCAUUCAACUUUUCUGUUUCAAUCUCCUCUAUCUUUUCCGCAGCAACAACUUUUUCUGUUUUUAUUUCCUCUUUCUUUUCUUCCUUUAUUUUCUCCUCAUAUAUCUCUGGCUCUUCUUCUUCUUCUAUCUUUUCCUCCUCGACAACCUUAUCAUUUUUAGAGAUAGUGGCUUGACAUUCUUCUAUAGGAAUAACUUCAGUAUUAUCCCUAAUGAUGCCCAGAGACUUCAAUACCUUUGUUAUCUCAUCUUCCUCUAUCUUCUCUCCAUCAAUAACCUUGUCAUCCUCAAAG